rnacentral:rRNA from 1 species
GUAGGUGGCAAGCGUUGUCCGGAAUUAUGGGCGUAAAGCGCGCGCAGGUGGUUCGUUUAAGUCUGAUGUCGAAAGACCCCCCGGGCGUCAAACCCGGGGAGGGUCAUUGGAAACUGGGGAACUUGAGUGCAGGAGAGGAAAGUGGAAUUCCACGUGUAGCGGUGAAAUGCGUAGAUAUGUGGAGGAACACCAGUGGCGAAGGCGACUUUCUGGCCUGUAACUGACACUGAGGCGCGAAAGCGUGGGGAGCAAACAGGAUUAGAUACCCUGGUAGUCCACGCCGUAAACGAUGAGUGCUAAGUGUUGGGGGGUUUCCGCCCCUCAGUGCUGCAGCUAACGCAUUAAGCACUCCGCCUGGGGAGUACGGUCGCAAAGACUG